rnacentral:tRNA from 1 species
AAGGGCUUAGCUUAAUUAAAGUGAUUGGUUUGCGUUCAGUUGAUGCAGAGUAGGCGUCUGCAGUCCUUA